GACGAACGCUGGCGGCGUGCUUAACACAUGCAAGUCGAGCGGAAAGGCCCUUCGGGGUACUCGAGCGGCGAACGGGUGAGUAACACGUGAGUAACCUGCCCCAGACUUUGGGAUAACCCUCGGAAACGGGGGCUAAUACCGGAUACGACACAGCUUCUCAUGGGGUCUGUGUGGAAAGUUUUGCGGUUUGGGAUGGGCUCGCGGGCUAUCAGCUUGUUGGUGGGGUGAUGGCCUACCAAGGCGACGACGGGUAGCCGGCCUGAGAGGGCGACCGGCCACACUGGGACUGAGACACGGCCCAGACUCCUACGGGAGGCAGCAGUGGGGAAUAUUGCACAAUGGGCGGAAGCCUGAUGAAGCAACGACGCGAGAGGGAUGACGGCCUUCGGGUUGUAAACCUCUUUCAGCAGGGACGAAGCGUGAGUGACGGUACCUGCAGAAGAAGCGCCGGCCAACUACGUG
rnacentral:rRNA from 1 species